AGCAGCCGCGGUAAUUCCAGCUCCAAUAGCGUAUAUUAAAGUUGUUGCAGUUAAAAAGCUCGUAGUUGAAUUUCGGGGUCAGUAGGUUGGUCGUGCCAAUGGUAUGUACUGGCUUUACUGAUUCCUCCUUCUUGAAGAACUGUAAUGCCAUUAAUUUGGUGUUGCAGGGAAUCAGGACUGUUACUUUGAAAAAAUUAGAGUGUUUAAAGCAGGCUUACGCUUGAAUACAUUAGCAUGGAAUAAUGAAAUAGGACGUUGAUCUUAUUUUGUUGGUUUCUAGGAUUGACGUAAUGAUUAAUAGGGAUAGUUGGGGGCAUUAGUAUUCAAUUGUCAGAGGUGAAAUUCUUGGAUUUAUUGAAGACUAACUACUGCGAAAGCAUUUGCCAAGGAUGUUUUCAUUAAUCAAGAACGAAAGUUAGGGGAUCGAAGACGAUCAGAUACCGUCGUAGUCUUAACCAUAAACUAUGCCGACUAGGGAUCGGAUGAUGUUAAUUUUUAAUGACUCAUUCGGCGCCUUAAC
rnacentral:rRNA from 1 species